rnacentral:rRNA from 1 species
UGCAGUCGAGCGGAGAUGAGGUGCUUGCACCUUAUCUUAGCGGCGGACGGGUGAGUAAUGCUUAGGAAUCUGCCUAUUAGUGGGGGACAACAUUCCGAAAGGAAUGCUAAUACCGCAUACGUCCUACGGGAGAAAGCAGGGGAUCUUCGGACCUUGCGCUAAUAGAUGAGCCUAAGUCGGAUUAGCUAGUUGGUGGGGUAAAGGCCUACCAAGGCGACGAUCUGUAGCGGGUCUGAGAGGAUGAUCCGCCACACUGGGACUGAGACACGGCCCAGACUCCUACGGGAGGCAGCAGUGGGGAAUAUUGGACAAUGGGGGGAACCCUGAUCCAGCCAUGCCGCGUGUGUGAAGAAGGCCUUAUGGUUGUAAAGCACUUUAAGCGAGGAGGAGGCUACUGAGACUAAUACUCUUGGAUAGUGGACGUUACUCGCAGAAUAAGCACCGGCUAACUCUGUGCCAGCAGCCGCGGUAAUACAGAGGGUGCGAGCGUUAAUCGGAUUUACUGGGCGUAAAGCGUGCGUAGGCGGCUUUUUAAGUCGGAUGUGAAAUCCCCGAGCUUAACUUGGGAAUUGCAUUCGAUACUGGGAAGCUAGAGUAUGGGAGAGGAUGGUAGAAUUCCAGGUGUAGCGGUGAAAUGCGUAGAGAUCUGGAGGAAUACCGAUGGCGAAGGCAGCCAUCUGGCCUAAUACUGACGCUGAGGUACGAAAGCAUGGGGAGCAAACAGGAUUAGAUACCCUGGUAGUCCAUGCCGUAAACGAUGUCUACUAGCCGUUGGGGCCUUUGAGGCUUUAGUGGCGCAGCUAACGCGAUAAGUAGACCGCCUGGGGAGUACGGUCGCAAGACUAAAACUCAAAUGAAUUGACGGGGGCCCGCACAAGCGGUGGAGCAUGUGGUUUAAUUCGAUGCAACGCGAAGAACCUUACCUGGCCUUGACAUACUAGAAACUUUCCAGAGAUGGAUUGGUGCCUUCGGGAAUCUAGAUACAG